GUGCCAGCAGCCGCGGUAAUACGUAGGUGGCAAGCGUUGUCCGGAUUUAUUGGGCGUAAAGCGAGCGCAGGCGGUUUUUUAAGUCUGAUGUGAAAGCCUUCGGCUCAACCGAAGAAGUGCAUCGGAAACUGGGAAACUUGAGUGCAGAAGAGGACAGUGGAACUCCAUGUGUAGCGGUGAAAUGCGUAGAUAUAUGGANGAACACCAGUGGCGAAGGCGGCUGUCUGGUCUGUAACUGACGCUGAGGCUCGAAAGUAUGGGUAGCAAACAGGAUUAGAUACCCUGGUAGUCCAUACCGUAAACGAUGAAUGCUAAGUGUUGGAGGGUUUCCGCCCUUCAGUGCUGCAGCUAACGCAUUAAGCAUUCCGCCUGGGGAGUACGGCCGCAAGGCUGAAACUCAAAGGAAUUGACGGGGGCCCGCACAAGCGGUGGAGCAUGUGGUUUAAUUCGAAGCUACGCGAAGAACCUUACCAGGUCUUGACAUACUAUGCAAAUCUAAGAGAUUAGACGUUCCCUUCGGGGACAUGGAUACAGGUGGUGCAUGGUUGUCGUCAGCUCGUGUCGUGAGGUGUUGGGUUAAGUCCCGCAACGAGCGCAACCCUUAUUAUCAGUUGCCAGCAUUAAGUUGGGCACUCUGGUGAGACUGCCGGUGACAAACCGGAGGAAGGUGGGGAUGACGUCAAAUCAUCAUGCCCCUUAUGACCUGGGCUACACACGUGCUACAAUGGAUGGUACAACGAGUUGCGAACUCGCGAGAGUAAGCUAAUCUCUUAAAGCCAUUCUCAGUUCGGAUUGUAGGCUGCAACUCGCCUACAUGAAGUCGGAAUCGCUAGUAAUCGCGGAUCAGCAUGCCGCGGUGAAUACGUUCCCGGGCCUUGUACACACCGCCCGU
rnacentral:rRNA from 1 species